UUUUUUUAUGCGGAGAGUUUGAUCCUGGCUCAGGAUGAACGCUGGCGGUGUGCCUAAUACAUGCAAGUCGAACGAAGAGCCUUUUUACUUGUAUUCGUACUCGUAGAGAGGAUUUCUUAGUGGCGAACGGGUGAGUAUCGCGUUGGUGACCUGCCCCAAAGAGAGGAAUAACAGAACGAAAGAUCUGCUAAUACCUCAUGUUGUCAUGGUUUUUAGAAAUCCAUGUCUAAAGGAAUUUAUUUCGCUUUGGGAGGGGCCUGCGUCCCAUCAGCUAGUUGGUAAGGUAACGGCUUACCAAGGCUAUGACGGGUAGGGGACCUGAGAGGGUGGCCCCCCACAAUGGAACUGAAACACGGUCCAUACACCUACGGGUGGCAGCAGUAGGGAAUAUUGCACAAUGGGCGAAAGCCUGAUGCAGCAAC
rnacentral:rRNA from 1 species